UAGCUGGCGGGAAUAAACUCACGAAGAAGAAAAAGAAAGCGGAAGUGGAGAAGUCUGCUAAACAGCGAGAGAGUACAGUAUAAAAACACUUUUAUUACUUUUACCUUUACUUUACUUCCAACCUUUGUCGUGUUUUACUUGAAAGAAAAACACUGACUUGCUAAAGUUGUGCGGGCUGACUUUUUACAGCUUCUCAGAUUAGCCGCAAACACAAGGGAAGUUAGCAGUCGGUGUAAGAUCGCACAUUUGGUGAGUAAAGGUGGACAACAUGUGUAAAUAAGGUGGACAACAUGUGUAAAUAAGGUGGACAACAUGUGUAAAUAAGGUGGACAACAUGUGUAAAUAAGGUUAACAUGUGUAAAUAAGGUUAACAUGUGUAAAUAAGGUGGACAACAUGUAUAAAUAAGGUGGACAACAUGUGUAAAUAAGGUGGACAACAUGUGUAAAUAAGGUGGACAACAUGUGUAAAUAAGGUGGACAACAUGUGUAAAGUCGGACAGCUGAGGACGUUGGUCAGUCAGCGACUAAGCGAGGCCGCCGAGGAGAUCUUGGGGCUUGUUGAAAGAACCAUAGCGGAGUACCAGGAGGAGACAUCAGUUUGAGAUGAAGAACACUGCACAUUAGUCAUCAUCAUUCUUUGGACAUCCUGGUCUGCAAUGAUGACAUCAGCAAUGAGUGACUUGGAAGCUUUUUUUGUGGUACAAUUUUGGAGUUCAACCAAAAGCAUGUCCAUCAGUUGCAUGGCCUUUAUUCACAAGUGCCUCUGGGGGCCUCACAGACCACAACAGUGUCCCCUGAUCUGAAAAAAAAAAAAGGAUCCUUGGGAUGGUGCCACAGAUGUGGGGACCCCCUCGUGGUUGACCCACUGCAAUGGAUGCUGAGCGAGUAUGUCUUGUGAAACUUAAGUUCAGUGAGCGCUUUGUAGGCUUUUAUUUUGUUUAGUUUGUUCUGAGCUGCCACCACAGAGCAGUAGACAAGCAUACACAGUCCUCUGGGGGCAAACACAGAAAUGUUCCGAAAGCACACAAAAACGUACAAUUGAAAAUGAAAUGCAUGAAAAGAUGCUGCAAGUGUUGUGGUUUUUUAAUCCAACAGUUUGUGUGACUGCAACAUGUUUCAUUUUCUGGGGUUUUGGAUCCUCACUGUGUUUUAGGCAUUGCUGCACAGUGUCUGCUAUUGGCCAAACUACAACAACAAUUAAACACUUUCAAUGUA